AAAUAGAAACAGGGGAGCUUGUAGGCAGGCUGAGAGGAAGUCAUCAAACUUCGACCCUUUAACCUGAUAUGGAUAAUGCCAUCGUAGGAAGUCAACAUUUCGAUUUU
rfam:Coprobacillus sp. CAG:235 genomic scaffold, scf121